GUCUCUCUCUCUCUCUCUGUCUCUCUCUCUCUCUCUCUCUCUGUCUCUCUGUUCUCUCUCUCUCUCUCUCUGGAAAACUGCAACCUUUGCAAAGGGGUUUAAAGAGGACAACGGGGCACUUCUGGCUCGGGACAUGAAGCACAGGCUCUGCCUCUUCCCUCCCCACCCCCCCCAAAAACGCGGGGGCUUGGCACCCGCCACAGAGUGCUGGCGAAACCUUUGGAAAGGCUCUGGAAUGUCUUCUCUUGCCUGGUCGAACCCUCCCCGGGGGGCCUGGUCGAAUCUCCGGAGGUGACGAAGGAGUCGGAGGAGGGUUGGUUGGGGUUUUUUUGGGGGGGUUUUGGUUUCCCGCUCUUCAUGGCUUCCUGCAGAUUCUUACGUUAAGUGCAAUUCCCCUUGUAAAUAAACUCCCCUUGGAUUUCGUGCAUGGUUAUUCUGUAUUGUGGAUAUAUAAAGAUUG